AUCCAUCCGACGAGUCCCAAAUAGGACGCGUCCUGGAU
rfam:Trichobilharzia regenti genome assembly, scaffold: TRE_scaffold0037976